AGAAAAAAGGGAAAUGGCUGGUGGGUGACAGUCUGAGACCUCGCCGCCAAGCUGGGAACCGGAGAGAUGGCCGAGACUGACCCCAAGACCGUGCAGGACCUCACCUCGGUGGUGCAGACACUCCUGCAGCAGAUGCAAGAUAAAUUUCAGACCAUGUCCGACCAGAUCAUUGGAAGAAUUGAUGAUAUGAGUAGUCGCAUUGAUGAUCU
rnacentral:lncRNA from 1 species